AUGCAGGCCUCCCUGGGGGCCACCUCGCCGCAGUAGGACGGGCUCAGCAUCUGCUGCUCGUAGGGCGGCGGCGAGCGGAAAUAGUGAUCAUCCCCCACCGAGGACGAGGCGUCCAGACAAUGGUAGAAGAGCCCUGAAUCUCUCUGUGCUGUGAAGGUGUUGAGUGGCAGAUCUUGAGUAUCUGAAGCUGCAAACUGCAUGUGAGCACCAUUCUCAUACUGAUAAUGCUGAAGGCUCUGGUGGUUCCCGUGCAGUGGAUUAACAUCUGGCUUUGCUGACAGCUGGCCGUGACUGGACACCAACCUCUGCCUCAUGAUGCUUUUGGAAAUUACUGGAUAUUCUUUGCUAAAAGAGGUGAGAAAAAUUAAGGCUGGUUAGGCAGUGAUCAGCAUCAUCAGAAUUUCAUCAGCAGUGAGGAAAUAUUGGUUUGUCUCCCCCAGAGCAUCUCCAGCCAAUGACUUCACCACCCUUUGCUUCAGACGGUGAACUCAUCAUGCUGCUCUGGGUGUGGCAAGGGCUGACAGCACAGAGUGUGUCAGGAAGGGCUUUUGAGGGACAUCAGUGCCCCUCAGGCACAAGCAAACACCUUCCAGCUGCUUCUCCCAAGAGCUGCAGCCCGUGAGGAGGAGGAGGAGGAGGAGGAGGUACCUUUGGAGCCGCGCCACGCGCAGGUCGCUGUCGUCGCUGCCCCGGAAGCCCUUGGCAAAGGGGUUGUUCUCAAUUUUCAGCUGGGUUAUCUUUAAAAGAACAAAGCAAGAAUAGUGUUUGAAAGCAAAUCAGACCAAAGGUACAGCAGCAGCAGGGCUGAGCUGGUGGGUCUCGAGGGGCCCAGUCCUGAUGACCCUUGUGAAAUGCAGAGUCUGGGUCUUAUUCUAGGCCCUGUGUUCUUUUUCUGGACUCCUGAUAGAGAGAAUUUAUUUUUCUGAUUUAAAUGCUUUCCUAUGUUUCCUUUUUAGAGAGCCCUGCUUGUCAUGGUGUGGCUCCACCUAAUUCCCAUAACAAUUUAACACACCUUUAUGGCCACCAUUCAGUCAUUUUAACUCUGUGAAGGUCACAACUCAAACACUGUUCUAACCCUGCACAGCCCCUCUCCCUGCUCCGAGCUCCCUGCAUCCCGUUUUAAUGCUGAGGAGAGCAGCCAGUUCUGCUUUGGGAUAGUUUUGCAGAGCUGUUGCUGUUACUAACAACUACACUUUUAGCAAUGUUGAAAAAUAUCCCUUACCAAAAAAACUCCUGAGAACACAGCUGGCUGCUCUCAGAGCUGGAGGGGAAGGUGGUGACAUGUGAAUUUAAGCAGCUUCCAGGGCUCGAGCCCUUGCAGGGAAGCUCAAGCAGCUGAUGAACCACAAGAAGAGUAGGACCCUUCCAAACCCACAGCCUGACAGCAGGUUUGUACAUCUUAAUUUCAUUUUGUUAUGCAGUGAUUGUGGUUUUCCUCUGACAUGAGCAGGAUCAGGGCUUCAGUCCCUCCUUGUCACCUUCCCCUGGCCUCAUCCAGCCCAGGAGGGGAUUUGGGCUGAGCACACACCUUCCUCACUGACCUGUGCCCAGGGGUAACCUCUAUCCUCAACGUCUUAAUUUUUUUCUUUAGGAAUACAAUUAUUUACAACCACACUUCUUGCUGGCAGGAGAUUUCUGAGCUAAAUAUAGUUCAGCAGUUUGUUUCUUCUAAAAGAUACCCAAACCAGGUUUUUAAUUGUUGACACUAAAGAGAAUAAAUAAAACCAUUCAGGUAUUCCUCUGAGGUUGAGAUUUUUCUCAAGACCACACUGAGGUCCUGGCGAGACCUUCUGCCUGCUGUCACCUUCUGCAUGUCCCCAUGUCCCCUGCUCAGGGCAGUGUCCAUCCCCCCCCAGCCUGCAGACAGAGGCUCCUCACAGGAUCUUCACUAAAGAAUUUGGGCUCAUCUGGGACAUUUUUCCUAAAUCUGUCAGGUCCACCCUGUGCUGCCUCCCAGACACAAACUGCCCCCAGCACAGCUGGACAGCAGUGACAGGGCAAGUGUGGAGUUUAUGGAGCACUCUGGGAACUUUAGGGAUGAAAGGCACCAUUGACAGCAGACAUUUUAAAUAUGUAUUAAAUAUAAGCUCUUUUUGGUUAA